rfam:Enterobacter cloacae S611 EDP2.NODE_1916, whole genome shotgun sequence.
UAUGGCUGGCGCAGGCGUGCGUCCUGAUAACCUUGAACUGUUUCUUCGCGCCGGUGUGAAAGAGGUGCAUAGCUCGGCAGGACGCUGGACAGCGUCGCCGAUGCGCUAUCGCAACAGCGGAUUAUCGAUGUCAUCCGAUGCGAGCGCCGAUGAAUAUGCCCGCUACGGCGUCGACAAAGAGGCCGUAGCAGAGAUGAAAGCGCUGAUUGUUAACUACCGCCAGUAACCGUUUUUACCGCCGCAUCAUGUCGCCCAAUGUGAUGCUUGCUUGUACCAGGCCCCUGCCAUUAACAGGGGUCUUUUUUU